rnacentral:rRNA from 1 species
GACGACGCUGGCGGCGUGCUUAACACAUGCAAGUCGAACGGUGACGAGGAGCUUGCUCCUCUGAUCAGUGGCGAACGGGUGAGUAACACGUGAGCAACCUGCCCCAGACUCUGGGAUAACAGUUGGAAACAGCUGCUAAUACCGGAUACGAGGCGGAGAGGCAUCUCUACCGUCUGGAAAGUUUUUCGGUCUGGGAUGGACUCGCGGCCUAUCAGCUAGUUGGUGAGGUAAUGGCUCACCAAGGCGACGACGGGUAGCCGGCCUGAGAGGGCGACCGGCCACACUGGGACUGAGACACGGCCCAGACUCCUACGGGAGGCAGCAGUGGGGAAUAUUGCACAAUGGGCGAAAGCCUGAUGCAGCGACGCCGCGUGAGGGAUGAAGGCCUUCGGGUUGUAAACCUCUUUCAGCAGGGAAGAAGCGAAAGUGACGGUACCUGCAGAAGAAGCACCGGCUAACUACGUG